rnacentral:rRNA from 1 species
CAGUCGCCGCGGGAAUACGAAGGGUGCAAGCGUUAAUCGGAAUUACUGGGCGUAAAGCGUGCGCAGGCGGUUUGUUAAGACAGAUGUGAAAUCCCCGGGCUCAACCUGGGAACUGCAUUUGUGACUGGCAAGCUAGAGUCUGGCAGAGGGGGGUGGAAUUCCGCGUGUAGCAGUGAAAUGCGUAGAUAUGCGGAGGAACACCGAUGGCGAAGGCAGCCCCCUGGGCCAACACUGACGCUCAUGCACGAAAGCGUGGGGAGCAAACAGGAUUAGAUACCCCAGUAGUCCCUGUCUCUUAUAC